rnacentral:rRNA from 1 species
AUUGAACGCUGGCGGCAGGCCUAACACAUGCAAGUCGAGCGAGCGGCGGACGGGUGAGUAAAGUAUGGGGACUGCCCGAUAGAGGGGGAUAACUACUGGAAACGGUAGCUAAUACCGCAUACUUCGGGAUAACCCAUAUGGGGGUAGCUAGUUGGUGAGGUAAGGGCUCACCCAGGCGACGAUCCCUCGCUGGUCUGAGAGGAUGAUCAGCCACACUGGGACUGAGACACGGCCCAGACUCCUACGGAGGCAGCAGUGGGGAAUAUUGCACAAUGGGCGCAAGCCUGAUGCAGCCAUGCGGCGUGUAUGAAGACUUUCUUCGGAUUGUAAACUUCUUUAUACAGGGACGCGGUACCUGUAGAAUAAGCCACGGCUAACUACGUGCCAGCAGCCGCGGUAAUUC